GUGUCAGCCGCCGCGGUAAUACGAAGGGUGCAAGCGUUAAUCGGAGUUACUGGGUGUAAAGCGCGCGUAGGUGGUUCGUUAAGUUGGAUGUGAAAGCCCCGGGCUCAACCUGGGAACUGCAUCCAAAACUGGCGAGCUAGAGUAUGGCAGAGGGGGGUGGAAUUCCACGUGUAGCAGUGAAAUGCGUAGAUAUGUGGAGGAACACCGAUGGCGAAGGCAGCCCCCUGGGCCUGUACUGACGCUCAUGCACGAAAGCGUGGGGAGCAAACAGGAUUAGAUACCCUGGUAGUCCACGCCCUAA
rnacentral:rRNA from 1 species